UACGUAGGGGGCUAGCGUUGUCCGGAAUCAUUGGGCGUAAAGCGCGUGUAGGCGGUCCGGUAAGUCCGCUGUGAAAGUCGAGGGCUCAACCCUCGAAUGCCGGUGGAUACUGUCGGGCUUGAGUACGGGAGAGGCGAGUGGAAUUCCUGGUGUAGCGGUGAAAUGCGCAGAUAUCAGGAGGAACACCGGCGGCGAAGGCGGCACUCUGGGCCGGUACUGACGCUGAGGAGCGAAAGCGUGGGGAGCAAACAGG
rnacentral:rRNA from 1 species